rnacentral:rRNA from 1 species
UCCAGACUCCUACGGGAGGCAGCAGUGGGGAAUAUUGCACAAUGGGGGAAACCCUGGUGCAGCAACGCCGCGUGAGUGAAGAAGUAUUUCGGUAUGUAAAGCUCUAUCAGCAGGGAAGAAGAAAGACGGUACCUGACUAAGAAGCCCCGGCUAACUACGUGCCAGCAGCCGCGGUAAUACGUAGGGGGCAAGCGUUAUCCGGAUUUACUGGGUGUAAAGGGAGCGUAGACGGCUGUGCAAGUCUGAAGUGAAAGCCCGUGGCUCAACCGCGGAACUGCUUUGGAAACUGUAUAGCUUGAGUACUGGAGAGGCAGGCGGAAUUCCUAGUGUAGCGGUGAAAUGCGUAGAUAUUAGGAGGAACACCAGUGGCGAAGGCGGUCUGCUGGACAGCAACUGACGUUGAGGCUCGAAAGCGUGGGGAGCAAACAGGAUUAGAUACCCUAGUA